rnacentral:lncRNA from 13 species
UGUAUUGUAAGAAAGAAAGCACUGUGUGAGCUAUGGGGAAAAUUCGUGCCACAGUCAUCGACAGGGAGAUUCUCCACCAAGAAUCUAGCAAGGACGGCCUCACUGCCCAGCUGCAGGGAGUAGAGUUGGCAGAUAGCUUCACUGUCUUCUCCUCAGGGUCCUCUGCUUUGAGUCAACCCCUUCCUGGGGCAACCCACACAGCCCGAUGCUGAGUGAGGUGGGGGUGCAAAGGCCUGGCCAUGUUCGCUCAUGGGGGCCCAACUCUGGUGGACAGAACAGUAUUCACUCCAGAGCUCCCUGUGGGGUUGGGGAGGCUUCUGUGGGCUGCCCUCACAGCUCAGCUUCCCCUGUGUCUUCCACAGGGCCUGAUUCCUAAUAAUCACCUUGAAACUCAGACCCUGUUUUGGCACCUGUUUCAGGAGAACACCACCUGCAAAGUUAUCAAAUCUGAAGGAAAGGAAACAUCGAAUGAAAAGGAAAAUGAAUUUGAAGAAAAAGAAUGUGCCGGAUGUGCGGCAAUGUCUAAAGAUUAUUCAAGAUCUUGCUAAGAAGUUAAAGCAACAUGACAUUCUGAAAUAAAAGUGUGCAGAUGCUUGAGGUAUGUUCA